AUUUGCGGAAUUUGUUUGAACCAAAUGGGGUGGAAAUAUUAUUCACAAAAUCAAUUCCGAAGAAAACUAUAAAAUGAUACGUGAUUAUUGUACAAAGAAUGUAAAAUGUUGUGGAUGAGGGAUUAGUUGCAACCUUAUUUUGAUCCUUUGUCAAUAGCAGUAGGGUCAUAUCUUUUAAUGGAGUACUGAUGAUAUGUUAAUGGUUACUGGAAUGUAGAAGUAUGAUAACUUAUUUGAG
rnacentral:misc_RNA from 1 species